rnacentral:pre_miRNA from 1 species
GUGCCGGCUAAGUGAAUGCUUUGCCACAGUCUUCCGAUCUCUGUCGAAUGUGAAGCCUGGGUCGAGAUUCGCUUAGGCCGGCAU